GACGAACGCUGGCGGCGUGCCUAACACAUGCAAGUCGAGCGAUGAAAUUAGAAACGGAGUCUUCGGACGAAGAGGAAAAUGGAUUAGCGGCGGACGGGUGAGUAACACGUGAGCAACCUGCCUAUCACAUUGGGAUAGCCUCGGGACACUGGGAUUAAUACCGAAUGAAACAUAAUCACUGCCUAGUGGAAAUGUCAAAGAUUUAUCGGUGAUAGAUGGGCUAGCGUCCGAUUAGCUAGUUGGUGAGGUAAUGGCUCACCAAGGCGACGAUCAGUAGCCGGGCUGAGAGGGUGAACGGCAACAUUGGGACUGAGACACGGCCCAAACUCCUACGGGAGGCAGCAGUGGGGAAUAUUGCACAAUGGACGAAAGUCUGAUGCAGCAACGCCGCGUGGAGGAUGACACAUUUCGGUGCGUAAACUCCUUUUAUAUGAGAAGAUAAUGACGGUAUUAUAUGAAUAAGUACCGGCUAACUACGUGCCAGCCGCCGCGGUAACAC
rnacentral:rRNA from 1 species